UUUAUUCUUCACGCUGUUCAACUUAUUGUUCAAGUAAAUCCGGAUGUUCUUAUCUGCAACUCCUUGUUUAGCAAUAUUGAUUGGGGAUAUCUGAAGUUAAUUUUGUUUUUCCUUUCAUCCUUUUUUCUGGAUAGGUUGCUAGCUUCCGAUUCAGAACUUUCUCGAGUAAAUCAACGUCCCUCUGCAUGAAGUGAUCUUCAAACUCAGCAGUCAAUACUAAUCAAAGUGCAAUAUGAGCACCAACCUCACUUCUCGAUCGGACAAAAGUCUACUAAAUGGACCUUAUAGUCCGUCUCCAGAAAGACUCAUUACAAUGGAGCGAGCAGA
rnacentral:lncRNA from 1 species